rnacentral:lncRNA from 1 species
CUAAAAUAGAGGUCGGCAGUCUCUCAAAUGUGAGUGGCUUUUAACAGAUUAAACACCGAAUCUGUGAGCUGAUCUUUAGGAGCUGUGAAAGUUGGUGAGAUCGGGAAGGGAAUGGUAAGAGAGGAGACCCCAUCCAACCCUUCAACAAUAUGAGAGAGAUGAAGACAAUCUCCAAGAACUGAGGGAGUGACAGCAGCAUUAAGAAGAGCCCACUGCAUUCCUGAAGUCUGUACCGUGGCAGAAAGAAGGAUGAACACUGGAAAUGAACCUGAGCUUGAGACAGGCCAGCAUGAACAAUAGAAAGCCUGCAUGAUUCUGGCAUCUCAUUUCCGUGGGUCGGCUUCCCUAGGAUGUUCCUGCUUUUCUCAGAUGCUUCCCUUCUUCAAUAAGAUGUCCAAGAUUUUCACAGUGGCUCUCUUUUGACUUGACAAGAUGUUGGUACUGAAGAAACCGAAGUCUCAGUUCUUCACAUGUAGUGAGUCAGGAUGCAUAGUGUUUACGAGCAGGGGAGACUUCUU